AUGGCAAGAACUCUGAACAAAGAUUUCCAGUGUAACUUGCACACAGAGCCAGGCUUUCAGAACGGCCAUGCAGAUCUGGUCAAGAGACAGGCUCCCUUUGUGAGGGGCAGCACUGGGGACUGCGGGCAUCUGGAGAGACUCAGGAGCUGUAUGUAUAAAGCCACAGCAGAUGGGACCUGUAAGACAGCCACAGGCAUUGCUUGUGCCCCGCAACUGUAACACUUGGGUCUGUGUGAUAAUAACUGUGACUUCAUUGGAGUUAAAUCCAGCUGCCAACUGGUCAUAAGUGAUGCUCCUCCGGGGUCACUAUUGGAGACUGUCCUGUUUAAUGUCUUUACUGAUGAUCUAGAUGAGGGAAUUGAGUGCACCCUCGGUAAGUUGCAGAUGACACUGAGUUGGGAGGAAGUGUUGAUCUGCCUGGGGAUAGGAAGGCCCUACAGAGGGAUCCGGACAUCUGGAUU
rnacentral:lncRNA from 1 species